rnacentral:rRNA from 1 species
GAGCGCAACCCUUAUCUUUAAUUGCCAGCAUUCAGUUGGGCACUUUAAGAGACUGCCGGUGUUAAACCGGAGGAAGGUGGGGAUGACGUCAAGUCCUCAUGGCCUUUAUGCUUAGGGCUACACACGUGCUACAAUGGUGGUACAAAGAGAAGCCAACUCGCGAGAGCGCGCCAAUCUCAAAAAGCCAUCCUCAGUUCGGAUUGGAGUCUGCAACUCGACUCCAUGAAGUUGGAAUCGCUAGUAAUCGCGGAUCAGCAUGCCGCGGUGAAUACGUUCCCGGGCCUU